AGGCCUUGAGGGUUGAAGCGGCUCCGACGACCAUUCGCAUCUCAGUGCAGUGGCGACUUUGAGGAAGUGAGGUGGUGUGUCUGUGUGAUCUCUCGCCUGCCUGCCACACUGCCCGCUGCAUCCUUGCUUUAUUCAGAAGGAGAACAUGGCGCCACUCGCAACGAUCGAAACUAUCUCCGUUGUUCGACCUCUUAAGGUGAGUGAGUGAGUGAGUGUGUGUGUGUACUUGCGUUUGCCACUGGGAAUGAUCAACACCAGGUAAGAUGUUGUUUCACCUGUAAUAAGGGAGCCCUCAGGUGUGCGGCAGGUUAAGACUGGCAAGGUAAGAUGCAAAUAAUUGUUUUGUUUUUUGUUUACAUUCGUGAAGGGGAGAGAGAGAGAGAGAGAGAGAGAGAGAGAGAGAGAGAGAGAGGAUAAUGGGGGUGAUAUUAAUGGUAAAGAUGCAAAAAAAUAUGAAGAAAAAGAGAAAAAAGUUAAUUUCUAAAAAGGUGAAAGGAAUGAGAAACUGAAAAUAGAGGAAGAAAAAGAAAGGAAUAAUGAAAAAACGUAAAUAAAAUAAUGA